GACAGAGGUGGCAAGCGUUGUUCGGAUUUACUGGGCGUAAAGAGUGCGUAGGUGGUGAGGUAAGACCUGUGGGAAAGACCUGGGCUUAACCCAGGAAGGUCGCAGGUGACUGCCUCGCUUGAGGACGGGAGAGGAGAGCGGAAUUCCCGGUGUAGCGGUGAAAUGCGUAGAGAUCGGGAAGAAGGCCGGUGGCGAAGGCGACUACCUGGCCUGUUCUUGACGCUGAGGCGCGAAAGCUAGGGGAGCAAACGGG
rnacentral:rRNA from 1 species